GAUUGAGAUCUUCCCUGUCGUUUAGAAGAGGGUGCUGGGAGUGCUGUGAGCAGAGAGGAAAAACAGAAUCAAGCGGAGGGCAAUAGAAUUCCAGAGCUGCAUAUCCCUUUGGACCUGAUGGAUAAAGAAAGGAGCCAUAUGCCUCUUAGUCAUAAAAAGAGAGCAUUCGAAGGACCAUUCAAGCAAAUACGUCUAAGCCACUGAGAUAUUGUUAAUUGGCGAAGACAGAUGCAGAGAGGAGCUCAGACAGAAGGAGCUGAGAUUUUCUAUUCCUCAUCUGAAGAUAAAGAAACUAAUGCUGAGAGAAGUUAAAUAAUAUGCUCAAGGACAUACAAGUUAUAUGGCAGAGCUGGGAUUCCCUUCAGUAAUUCAACUUUAUGUCCUAAACCUUAAUCAUUAUGUUCCUGGAUACACAGUACUUCCUAACACAGGUCUGUGGAAGUGCUGACUGUUAGAAAGUGAAGCAUAUACCAUCCUGGGAUAGAUACAGUCCUCUGGUUUAAAGGGAUAGGAGAAGCAAACUGAGACAGACUUCAGCGUCAGUGGUGGCUGGGCACAGAUGCAUGGUUAGAAGGACUAGGAAUGGUAUCUUCCCAGUGGUCCAUAAUUGAGUUUUGCAUCCUAUUGUUGAACCCAUUUUGAAGAAAGUAUGUAGUGAUGGUCUUUGAGCCUAAACUUUCUCGCUCUCUGCUUAGCCAGACAGGCAUCAUUCAUCAUGUUAGUGUUCACAUCCAAUAUUGGUAUCAACUGAGUAGUAAAAUAGUAAUCAUUUUUUUGUUUGAUAGAUGAGUUUAAACAAGUAUUUUUAUUUCAUCUGUAGGAAACUAUAAUGAAAUGGAACUAGCCUUCCAAAUGCAGGUUGCACUAUGUAAUUAGGUAGAUAAACAUGGCUAUAGAAGUUAGAACUGCAUGAACUUUUAACAAAGAGCAAAGAGAAUAUUAUAGUCAUUUAUUGGUGAGGAUGUAAUUCUUACCAUGGUCAAAGGAACAACGUUUUCUUGAUGAUAGCUUUACCUCUAGCUUUAGUAAAUACGUGACUUUGUAUACUGCCCUGAGUGUGUUUUCAGUUGAAGAUAGUUAUCAUUCGUUUUCACUUUCAACAUCAGAAGAAGUCACGGAUGUAAACCUCUUGCUCAUUUAAGUUUUCUUAAGUAGUGCCUUGAUUUCAAGUGGAAAAGAAACAAAAUUUAUGGUACAAAACAGAAGCCUGACUCUAACGUUUUAUACACAAGGUUUGGGUCUUUCUUUGAAUUGAAAGAGAGUCUGAAAAAAAAAAUGUGAUCCUUUUCUGUGCUGUAUCUCCUCCAGUCUUUUUAGUGGAAGUUGUAGUUUAGUGAAAGUUGAGUUGUAGAGUGUCCACUCAAGCCAAGUUUCUCCUAGGUAUUUCUUCCCCCUUGAGUGCUCUAGUCAUCCUGUCAAUCAUUUUAUGUGUUUUAAUGUGUUUUAUGUAGUUGGCAUGUGCUUCAAAGGUAGCUAUGAAAAUGAUGGUGCUGUAAUACCCUUGCACAAAUAUCUUUAAGCAUUAGCAAGUAGGCCUGUGGGCGAGAAACCGAAAGGCAGGACUACUGCGCCAAAGUGUACAUGCAUUUGAAUGCGAUGAACAUUAGGAAAUUAUAUUGCAAAAUGCCUUGUUUUCUCUAUUACAUGGAGGGCAUGAAAGUGUCCAUUUUCUGGUACUUUUGUCAUCAUCAGAUAUUAUUAUUUUUUAAUUUUUGUACAGCUGAUGGGUGAAAACUGUCAUCUUAGUGUUGCUUUAAUUUUUUCCAGUUCCUCAGUCACCACAAAGUUGAAUAUCCUUUAGUGUUUAUUAGUGAUUUGAUCUCUUCUUUUUUUGAACUAUCAGUUCAAAUCCUUUGUGUAUUUUUCUAGUGGUUCUAAUGUGUUAUUCUUAGAGUUGUAAGAGCUAUUAAUGAGUAUUGAUUUUUUUGGUAAAUAUUUUCCUCCACUUGUUCCUUGUUUAUUGAAGAUCCUUAUGAUGUCUUUCAAAGUAUCUGAGUUGAAAUAUUUAGUUAGUAAAAUCAACUGACAUUUGUAUAUAUGUCCUUUGAGUUUUGUGUGUUACUUAAAAAGACUUUCGUGUGUCUAUAUAUAUAUAUGCUAUAGUUUUUUCUAGUGCUUUGUGUUCACAACUCAAGCCAUAAUUUAUUAAUGAUCUUAUUAACAUCUAUUUCCUUCUAACGCCUUUUGAAGCUUCUCUUAUUCAUUUGAGUCUUUCAUUUGUAUAUAUAAUGAAAUAUAUAGCUAAGUUUUUCAAUGGAUAUCUAAUAUUUCCAACUGCGUUUUAAGUAGCACAUAAUUUUACCUCUAAAUUGAAGUAUCAUCUUUAUCACAUAAUAAAUUCUUAUGUAUGUUCAUUUCCAGACUUUUAUAUUCUGUUCCAAUUUAUUUGUUUGUUCCUGACAGUCACCCCAUUGUUUUAAUAAGUGUAACUUUAUAUUUUGAACUUGGUACGCUGAGUUUUGUGGGGUUUUUUGAUGCAGAAUUUUUUGGCUAUUCUUGGAAGGUACUCUUUUUGUUAACUUUAGGAACAGCUAGUAAAUAUCCUUUCGAAAAAUCUCAGUGGAGUUUUGAUUGAAACCAUGUAGUAUAUAUAGAUCUACUGGAGAAAAGAAAGUCAUCUUUCCAAGCAAGGGUGUCUCCUUGCCCAGGGUGUCUGCCAGCAUAUUAUCAAGAACUGGUGCCACAAAAAUGUUUGAGUUGCUCAACACACUCCCAAAGUUAACACUGAAGAAAAAUAUUUCUUUCUUAAUGAAUGUUAAGUCUACACCCUGCCUCAUUUCAUCUGCAAAAUGAAACUAAGAUCUUAGGAUGGCUGCCUGGGGAAGUUCUGGGCCUGUCAUUUGAGAAGCUUUGCCAUCUGGCUCCAGAAGUGAUUCAUAGUCGGAUCCUGCAUGAUGUCAAAAUGUUGAAAAAAUUAUAAAAACCUUGAACUAGAUUAUUUAGGUUAGAUUCAUUAUAUUUUCAAUGAAGACUAAUAUUAUUAGUUUGUCUAACUUUUAUCUAAGGCUGUGCAUGCAUAGCUCUGAGAGUGCUGCCCAAUUCAGUUGAUUUUCAUUCAGAAAAAUUAUCAGUAAAAUU
rnacentral:lncRNA from 1 species